AUUGAACGCUGGCGGCAUGCCUUACACAUGCAAGUCGAACGGCAGCAUGGAGAGCUUGCUCUCUGAUGGCGAGUGGCGAACGGGUGAGUAAAGCAUCGGAACGUACCGUGUAGUGGGGGAUAGCGUAGCGAAAGUUACGCUAAUACCGCAUACGCACUGAGGUGGAAAGCAGGGGAUCGCAAGACCUUGCGCUAUACGAGCGGCCGAUGUCAGAUUAGCUAGUUGGUAGGGUAAAGGCCUACCAAGGCGACGAUCUGUAGCGGGUCUGAGAGGAUGAUCCGCCACACUGGGACUGAGACACGGGCCAGACUCCUACGGGAGUCAGCAGUGGGGAAUUUUGGACAAUGGGGGAAACCCUGAUCCAGCCAUGCCGCGUGAGUGAAGAAGGCCUUCGGGUUGUAAAGCUCUUUCGGCUGGGAAGAAAUCGCACAGGCUAAUACUCUGUGUGGAUGACGGUACCAGCAUAAGAAGCACCGGCUAACUACGUGCCAGCCGCCGCUGUAACAC
rnacentral:rRNA from 1 species